AUUGAACGCUGGCGGCAGGCCUAACACAUGCAAGUCGAACGAGUGGCGGACGGGUGCGUAAUGUCUGGGAAACUGCCUGAUGGAUGGGGAUAACUACUGGAAACGGUAGCUAAUACCGCAUACCAUCAGAUGUGCCCAGAUGGGAUUAGCUUGUUGGUGGGGUAACGGCUCACCAAGGCGACGAUCCCUCGCUGGUCUGAGAGGAUGACCAGCGACACUGGAACGGAGACACGGACCAGACUCCUACGGGAGGCAGAAGUGGGGAAGAUUGCACAAUGGGCGAAAGACUGAUGCAGCCAUGCCGCGUGUAUGAAGAAGGCCUUCGGGUUGUAAAGUACUUUCAGCGGGGAGGCGUUACCCGCAGAAGAAGCGCCGGCUAACUCCGUGCCAGCAGCCGCGGUAGUAC
rnacentral:rRNA from 1 species